rnacentral:RNase_P_RNA from 1 species
GGAGUAGACCGGAUGGUCGCCCGUCGGUUCGCCGGCGGGAGGAAAGUCCGGACUCCACAGGGCAGGGUGCUGGGUAACCCCCAGGCGGAGCGAUCCGACACCGGCGCCACAGAGAACAGACCGCCGAUGGCCGGCAAUGGAGCGUCAGCUUCGCUGCCGGCUCAGGCAAGGGUGAAACGGCGGGGUAAGAGCCCACCGCGUCUGUGGUGACACAGACGGCACGGUAAGCGUCGCCCGGAGCAAGACCAAAUAGGAGGACGAUCCAGGCUCGACUCGACGAGUUGCGGCGCUGGAGACGGCUGGCCCAGCCGAGUCCUCGGGUAGGUCGCAUGAGGCCCGGGGUAACCCGAGCCCAAGAGAAAUGAUCAUCCCCGCCGAAGCCUUUGGCGAAGGCGGGACAGAAUCCGGCUUAUAGGUCUUCUCCAGCG